rnacentral:lncRNA from 1 species
CAUGCCAUGGCAUGAUGUGGAGUGAUGGCGGAAAUCAGUGUUUUGACACUGAAAUGCUGUGUCGAUCGGAAAGCAGCUCCAAUACGGACUGAUAUAAGAUUGAGCCAUUACUCAGUACCAUAUGUGAAGGAACAUGCGCCUGUGGGAGGGAUCAAUGGUUCUGCAAAGCCCGACAUCAGAUGUCCGAGAGGCAACGGACACCACACGUAUGAACACAAAUCCAUUAUACUCAUGGAAUUGCAUAGAUUUU